AUUGAACGCUGGCGGCAUGCCUUACACAUGCAAAUCGAACGGCAGCACGGGUGCUUGCACCUGGUGGCGAGUGGCGAACGGGUGAGUAAUACAUCGGAACGUACCUUAUCGUGGGGGAUAACGCAGCGAAAGCUGUGCUAAUACCGCAUGCGCCCUGAGGGGGAAAGCGGGGGAUCGCAAGACCUCGCGCGAUUAGAGCGGCCGAUGCCUGAUUAGCUUGUUGGUGGGGUAAAAGCCCACCAAGGCGACGAUCAGUAGCUGGUCUGAGAGGACGAUCAGCCACACUGGGACUGAGAAACGGCCCAGACUCCUACGGGAGGCAGCAGUGGGGAAUUUUGGACAAGGGGGGCAACCCUGAUCCAGCAAUGCCGCGUGAGUGAAGAAGGCCUUCGGGUUGUAAAGCUCUUUUGUCAGGGAAGAAACACCGGCUCUAACACAGUCCGGGAAUGACGGUACCUGAAGAAUAAGCACCGGCUAACUACGUGCCAGCCGCCGCAGUAA
rnacentral:rRNA from 1 species